rnacentral:lncRNA from 1 species
UUUUUUGGGGUAGGCAGAUAAUGAAAAAUCAGGGAAUUUGAUAAGUAUUUCCAACCCAUGGAAUGAUUUCUUUAGGUUUUCACUGACAGGAAGAAAAAAGCAAAUCUCAAGUGCAUGUAAACUAAAGAGAGCAACACAAGCCCUGUGCCUUGCAGUAGUAGGAGACAUGUAGAUAGUCCAAUCCACCAGGACCACAGCUCUCCAGCACCACUCCAAGCCCAGGAGUGCUGAGGACAGGCAAAGCCAGGCUGGCCUAGGGGUGCACGGACAGGAAACACUGAACAUUAAUGUGUGGUGAGCUGCCUGCAUUGCAGUGACAUUGCUGCUGCUGCUGCUGCUGCCCUACCCAGGGCAGCUAUUGACACAUCUUGCUUCUGCAGCUGCAAACAGAUAUCUUUACUGCUAUUAGGGAAGCUGCAGAAAUGCUCUGUGGGGAAAAGCAGUCUGAAGAAGGCAGCAACAUUAAUUUCCCCUAGGCAUGGCAUCGCAGGGAUUUUCCACUGCCCUUUACAAUUCUAUUCCCAUUACUACUUUGGCCCAUGACAAGCCAUGGUCCUGGGGGAAGCAUCUCGUUCCAGACUGGCAUUUGCACAAUGAGGAAAGAUGUUCUCCACAAUAGCAAAGCUCAAAACAUUUCAGUCUUCAUCAAGACCCAAUCGAAACACAGCCAAAUCCAAAUCCCUUGUGACUAUUUGAACAACUGACUGCAAGACCUGGUAAGCUGAUGGGAAACAUCACUUAUCCACAAGAGUGACCAAGACCUUGCUGCUUUGAACAUCCACACUAUGGACUACUUUAAGAUAAAUAAGGGAAGGGCAAAGAACAAUGUUCUGUGAAGAAAGUGAGUGCAGAAUCCAGCUCUGCACACUAAAAAUGGGUUUCUGCACCACACGAUGAGGUGAGGUAGAGGCUUGUAUGUAAAUAUGCCUGCACAACUGAGAACAAAGAUAUCUGGCCAUAUGCAUAUCCAACAUUAUAAUUUUGGGAGAUGAUCCAUUGCCACCUUCCUCAAGGAAUAAUGGAAGGAAAUAUAUAAAAUAAUAGCAGCCAUAAAUAAGGAGACUUGGCAGCAGAGCUAAAUUAAGCCUCCUUUUCUUACAGCAUCUUUCCAAAAUUUCCCAUUUCAGAAGAGGGAGAUGUUUCAGACAAAAGAAAGUGUCCAAAGCUGGGGUGAAUUAAUUACUGAAAAAGUUAUAUUGCAGGUGUCAAAGUAUUCAGAGCACCAGAGAAAUAUGAAAAAAACUUCAUCCUUUUACUGUUACAAGAGGUGCAUUUUUAUUCUUUUGAAAUUUAGAUGACACCGUAAAAGAAAUGAGACAGGCAGAGAGUGAUAUAAUCCAGCAAAAAAACCUCAUGGGUUUAUGUUAAAAAUAAACAAACACCACCUUUGCUUCAUGGCAAAGCGUCCUGAAAAUGUUAAGCAGCUUUUUAUGAAACGGGACCAUUAUCUUCUCCAGAUACAAUUCGCAGGAUGUUUCUCAAAACUACAUCACAAGUACUUGUUCAUUCACAGUAUUCAGUAGCUGCCU